rnacentral:lncRNA from 1 species
GGCCAGCAGCCGAGAAAUCGUUGUCAAUAGGGUACAGGUUCCCUGGUGGACCAGUUACGUAAAUAAAGGAUGGUGCGGGUGGGGGUGGAGGGCAGUAACCUGAUGGUGGCUUCUUUGGAGUCGGUGGUGGCAACUCUGGUGGAGGAGGUGGUGGUGGACACAAUACUGGUGGAGGAGGCGAUGGUGGUGGAGGACUUGGAUUACAUGGCGUGCACUUCUCUUCAGUUGGUGCAGGCACGGUGGUCUCAUCAAGCUUCCUUGAAUCUAAGCCGUGAACGGGUGCCGCAACAAAAAGAAACAUGCUUAGUAGCAUCAAAGAGUUGAAAAAACUCAUUCUUAACAGCAUAAUGAGGCUAGCUAGAAGUUAGAGAAUUGCUAGAGAGAUCAAUAUGGUGGAAGGAUUGAAGGAAAGGGGGCUUGAUAAGAGCUG